CACAUCUGAAACUACAAUGUAUGUUGGGGCAACUCUCUGUUUAGGCAACACCGAUACCAGGAUGCAGCCAGUGUGUGUGGGAAGCAGACAUGAGCAGAGAGAGUGAGAAAGAGGAAGAUGAGAAGGGGACAUGGGUUCGAUCCCUGGUCCGGGAAGAUCCUACAUGCCAUGGAGCAACUAAGCCGGUGCGCCACAACUACUGGGCCUGUGCUCUAGAGCCCGCGAGCCACAACUACUGAAGCCCGCAUGCCUAGAGCCCAUGUUCCACAACAAGAGAAGCCACUGCAAUGAGAAGCCCGCACACCGCAAUGAAGAGUAGCCCUCACUGGCCAGAACUAGAGAAAAGCCUGCGCGUAGCAACGAAGAACCAACACAGCCAAAUAAAUAAAUGAAUAAAUAAAAAAAUUUUAAAAUAAAUAAACUCCAUAGAGUUCACCUA